UCAAUGGAAAUCUUGCAACCGCGAUUUUGACAUAAACGAACUGCUGUCUUAUUGCGCACCUUUCGAGCAGUAACCUUCGCCGUUUAUUGAAAGGAGGCCUCAGUUUUUUGUUGUCUGCUGAACGUGGUUUUCUCGCCACAAAUCAACUUCAAUAAAUUAGACGACAGGUGGUGCACCAAGGAAACCUUCACUUUCAAUCCUUUCAAAUUUAUCAAUCUUGCAGGUGUACUUUUGUGGCAGCUUUGAUCUCAUCUGGUACUUGAAAAUUGUCGCUGACACUUUGGUUGUAGGUUGUCCUUCUUUUCUUCACAAGUGGUGGUAUACAGUCAUCGUCGGCUACUUGUUCUUUCUUUUGAGAGUCUGUCAUAUUGGCAGCUACUUGUUCUUUGUCAUGAGAGUCUGUCACAUCGAUGGCUACUUGUUCUUUGUCCUGAGAGUCUGUCACAUCGACGGCUGCAUGUUCUUUGUCCUGAGAGUCUGUCACCAUGGCAUUCUCUGUUAUUUCAGUAGAUGUCUGUUUAGAGACAGUAGCUUCUUUAACAGAGAGUACUCAUUCUGAAAAUUUAGUUUCAGCUGCAGACAAAAACAACAGUUUGAGCCACUGGCACGCUUGUAUGCAUGUAUGGUAUAUGCAUGUAUGUUGAAAGACCUAAUGAAAUGGUCUAUUUCUGUCCACUAAUUGAAGUUUGUUAAGAAGGAUGACUGA